UACAGAGGUCUCAAGCGUUGUUCGGAAUCACUGGGCGUAAAGGGUGUGUAGGCGGCGUGAAAAGUCAGAUGUGAAAUCUGGGGGCUCAACCUUCAAAUAGCAUCCGAUACUGUCAUGCUGGAGGUCUGUAGAGGAGUCUGGAAUUCUCGGUGUAGCAGUGAAAUGCGUAGAUAUCGAGAGGAACACUUGUUGCGAAAGCGAGACUCUGGGCAGAAACUGACGCUGAAACACGAAGGCCAGGGUAGCGAACGGG
rnacentral:rRNA from 1 species